rnacentral:lncRNA from 1 species
CCAGCUUUUCUGUUUGCAGAGUUGGUAGCUAUUUUAAGACGCGUCGUUUUUCUCUCCCUGGUUUAGUUAUUACUUGAAGUCAACUUAUACUGCGUAUGAAAAUGGAAAUUGGAGUCUAAAAUUUCUUGAAGUGUAGUUCAUUCAGUGUGAACACUUGCGUUUGCCAGUCUUUUCCCAUUUCACACGGUGUGGGUGAGGCCCAAGUCAACCUAAAAGAACAAGCGAACAGACGUGUGACCAGUUGACCAACACCAGUUGCUGUUUCAGACGAUGGGGUGUGUGAUGCAGGUUCAAGUGUAGGGAACCGGUGGUGUGGGCUGGCAAGGCCCAAGUAAACCCCAAAAAACAAGUGAAUAACAGACGUGUGACAAGCUGACCAACACCAGUUGCUGUUUCAGACGAUGGGGUGUAUGAUGUACGUUUAACUGUACGGGACCGGUGGUGUGGGUUGGUAAUUACACUUUUAACCCAACUUCUAGUAGUAAAGAAUGAGUGAUUCGCGUUCUGGCCCAGCAACAUGUAAGCUGUUGUAAGGCCUAGAAGUGCGUUCAUCUGGCCUUUAGUUAGUUGCAAUGGAAGUGAUUCGCGUUCUGGCCCAGCAACAUAUAAGCUGUUGUAAGGCCUAGAAGUGCGUUCAUCUGGUGUUUAGUUAGUUACGCUAGAAGUGAUUCGCGUUCUGGUCCAGCAACAUGUAAGUUGUUGUAAGGCCUAGAAGUGCGUUCAUCCAUGCCCAUUGAAUCUUUACUUAUUAAUCAGCUUAAAAGUUUAAUGUAAAAGUAAGUAAUGCCUUGUUUUUCAUUUACUUGUGAUGCCGAGUUAUUCUUCAAGUGGAAGUUGGUGCUUCACCUGCAAGUCGAAGAUAGUGCUGGAGGUGGUGCGGGCGCUGGAGCUGGAGGUUGAGCUGGCGCUGGAGCUGGUGCGGGGGCUGGACCUGGAGCUGGCAGUAUUUGAUGAGCGAACUAUAUGACAGUAUAAUUUGUUUUGCAUCCGUCAUUGUAGUGUUUUGUAUUCUGCCUUGUACACUAGCCCAUCAUUCACCUUUUCAA